rnacentral:tRNA from 1 species
GCCCGGGUGGUGGAACUGGUAGACACGUUGGACUUAAAAUCCAAUGGCCAUACAACGGCCGUGCGGGUUCAAGUCCCGCCCCGGGUA